GAUGAACGCUGGCGGCGUGCCUAAUACAUGCAAGUCGAGCGAACGGACGAGAAGCUUGCUUCUCUGAUGUUAGCGGCGGACGGGUGAGUAACACGUGGAUAACCUACCUAUAAGACUGGGAUAACUUCGGGAAACCGGCGCUAAUCCCGGAUAAUAUUUUGAACCGCAUGGUUCAAAAGUGAAAGACGGUCUUGCUGUCACUUAUAGAUGGAUCCGCGCUGCAUUGGCUAGUUGGUAAGGUAACGGCUUACCAAGGCAACGAUGCAUAGCCGACCUGAGAGGGUGAUCGGCCACCCUGGAACUGAGACACGGUCCAGACUCCUACGGGAGGCCGCAGUAGGGAAUCGUCCGCAAAGGGCGAAAGCCUGACGGAGCAACGCCGCGUGAGUGAUGAAGGUCUUCGGAUCGUAAAGCUCUGUUAUUAGGGAAGAACAUAUGUGUAAGUAACUGUGCACAUCUUGACGGUACCUAACCAGAAAGCCACGGCUAACUACGUG
rnacentral:rRNA from 1 species